AUUGAACGCUGGCGGCAGGCUUAACACAUGCAAGUCGAGCGGGGUGAUGGUGCUUGCACUAUCACUUAGCGGCGGACGGGUGAGUAAUGCUUAGGAAUCUGCCUAUUAGUGGGGGACAACAUCUCGAAAGGGAUGCUAAUACCGCAUACGUCCUACGGGAGAAAGCAGGGGAUCACUUGUGACCUUGCGCUAAUAGAUGAGCCUAAGUCGGAUUAGCUAGUUGGUGGGGUAAGGGCCUACCAAGGCGACGAUCUGUAGCGGGUCUGAGAGGAUGAACCGCCACACUGGGACUGAGACACGGCCCAGACUCCUACGGGAGGCAGCAGUGGGGAAUAUUGGACAAUGGGGGGAACCCUGAUCCAGCCAUGCCGCGUGUGUGAAGAAGGCCUUAUGGUUGUAAAGCACUUUAAGCGAGGAGGAGGGUCUUUUGGUUAAUACCCAAGAUGAGUGGACGUUACUCGCAGAAUAAGCACCGGCUAACUCUGUGCCAGCCGCCGCCGUAA
rnacentral:rRNA from 1 species